UAAGGGUGCAUACACACACUUCUACUUUUUGCCUCUGGCUUUGGUUUAGCUCUGGUUUGGCUGGUUCAUUUCCUCCAGGCCCUGGAUCCAGUCCCUCUCUCUCUGCCCAGAACUUUGAAGCUCUUUCAGUUCCUCCAUUUCAUCUGAAAAAGCCACUUGUACUGACCUUGUCUUCAGAUCCUGCUUCCCAGAGGUUCAAGUCAUACUUCCAGGCCUGAGCCAUCAGUGCAGGAAGGGAUCCGUGAAUUCACCUCACAGCAGACUUACAGCAGCUUGGACCAAGGGGUUUUCUCGGGUCUUCCCUGGGUGGAAAACUCUCCCAGCCCAGCAGACUGCCCUUGAGAACCCUCUGAACCCCUGGAACCUGGGAGUGUCAGCUUCUGGGUACAAAGUCACCAUUUCCUCCAAAAAUCUCCAUUUCCUCUUACCACGGGUUUCUGCUUCUAUGGCUGUUUUGCUACCUCUGUUCAAUUUCAUUUAAUUUUUAUGGACUUUCUAUUUCUUGUGAAAAGAAGAAUUGUAAUUCUUUCUAAGGAAAACAGCAAAGUGAAGGGUCUGGAGGGUCUAUCCCCCUUCAGCACCCGAACUGCAGAGCCACAAUCAAGCCACGGCUCUUGUGCUUCCCCAUCAGCCUGGACAGGAUCGGGAGCGGUUCCAGGGCCACUCGUUCGGCUCUGGCUCAGAGCCCUCGGGCAGCUCCUCCCCGGAGUGACUGGGAUUUUUAGUAAGCCUUCACAAGAGGGGAAUCUUAUCAUCAUCGUCAUCAUCACCAUCACAUCACCAUCGUCACCAUCCUGUCCCGCGCUGGACUCCGGGCUCCGCCGGCCUCUCUGGCAGAGCCGCUCCGCUCUGCGGCCCCGGAGGGGCUGUCCCGGGAGGGGCCGAGGUGCCGCUGUCCCCACCCGCUCCGGGGUGGCCGAUGCCACGAGGUGUCGCUGCCUGUCAAACAAAACGCGCUUUUCUCCAAGCCACACCGGCUGAAAACUUCAGGAUCCGCAAAAAACUCCUGCUGAGCUUGGAGUGAUUCCCGCAGCAUCCUCGCAUGGCACAGGGGGCACAGCACACCCGAGGUUCUGCUCUCCUGCCCCUCCAGCCUCUGCCUCUGGCUGGGGGGGCCCUGGGAGGGGCCGGAUCUGGUGCUGGCAGCAGCAGGACUGUGACCCCUGGGUGACAGGAGGACACACGGUUGUACCAUCAGUGCCCUGGGACCCUGCUGUGGAGCCUUGUGGUGCCUUUAGGAUGCAGGCAGGGAUGGUGCUGCUGCAGAGGACUGGUAACAGCCUUCAUCCUUGGGCAAAUCACCCAGCUGUGCCCGUGUUCUCCCACUGGUGUACUCCUGUGGAGCAUCAAUAUUCAAAUAUUCUUAUCCACGAACCAGCUGGACACAAUCCUGUGCAAUGGGCUUUAGCAUGGCCCUGCUUGGCCCCACUGUGGCCCUUUCCACCCUGAGUCACUCUGUGGUGCUGUGAAAUGCUUUGGGAGGACUUUGGCAGUCAUUCAUGGCACAAUGUCUCACCCACCCCUCGCUCUGUGACACCCAGGAUCCCCAGGGGACUCCCCCCAUUUUCCACCUGCUCCCUCCCUGCGUGCAGCAGGUGAUGCAGCACAGGAGGGCAAACCCUGCAACCCUCCCUGAGUCAGUGAUGGGUAUCUGCCCUCCCUGAGGAAGGGCACUGCAGGAAAUCCAGUGUGAGGAAGGCACACUGGUUGGGUUUUGUGAAACCUUUGGAAGCAACAGGCAGCACUGAGUGCUGCAAUGUCACCCCAGCUCCUUCCCUUUGCUCUCAGCCCACCUAGGAGCUGCUCUGGCAGAGCUGUAUGUGCUGCAGGCUGGGAGCUGGGGACAGAGACUGAGCCCAGGGAGAAAAAAAAACAGAAUAAAACUUGUAACAGAGCAUUCCUGGUACAGAUGGCACCAUGGGAAACCAAACCUCUGAUCCAUAAGGGCAGCAGGUGAAUGAACAUGAGAAAAUAUCCCUUAGCCCCAAAAUGAAACAAAAAGACAUAUUCUGAGACUGAAAGUGAGGCCUCACUCAGCUCCAAAGUUUUCUCUUGUAAUGUUGGGGGAGAACAUACUGAACAUACCUUAGGGGAAAGUUUUCAAUCAACACAAAGUCCUUGGUUUUGUCCCCUGUCCCAAGAGGGCACCAAGAGGACACCUCUGGCAGUUCUUGUACCCAGCUCUGCCUUCCUUCCCCUGGCUCCUGUGGCUCUGUGGGAUGAGUUGUGCAGCCAAGACAUCCAGGAACUGGAAACAGCCCCGCCCUGGCAGGAGACAGAUCCCAGUGACAGCCUGACACUGCCACCUCCUGCAGCUCCAGCAGCCCCAUCCUGGCUGCAGGGAGCCUCAGUCUUCUUCUCUACCCCUGGGAAAUCUUGGUUGGAGGCUUAGGUCUGACUUUGAAUGUGGCACUCGAUCUUCUGUGGCUCAGCAGGGGAAUUUUUUUCCUCUUCCUGCUCAGGACCAGCCCUGACACACAGGCUGCUGAUGGUUGGACUUGAGGGGAAUUAUUUUGGAAGGUUUACAAAGCAAACAUUGGGGAAAUGAUGGGAUUAUCGAAGGAUGAAAUGCUACUGAGAAUUAAAAGGUUAAAAAAUCUGCAGAGCUGGGGGAUGCCAUAUGGUAAAACAAAAUAUAGCAGUGUCCCCUUGACCCAGACAGGCAUUUGGGCAACCUGUCACCAGGAGGAAGGGAAGAGAAUGGGCUUGGUUUGUUUUUUAAAUUGAGUCUGAAAAGACUUAAAAUGAAAAGCAAAAGCAAAAACAAACCCAUAAAUUUUGUUCCCCAUACAAAUGCUAUGAAUCAUUUAAUCUCCUUUAUUUUCUCUUCUGGGGAAGGGUUUUUACAGGAACCUGGGGCUUUGCCUGGGCACAGGAGCUGGAGCUGGCCAUGAUGAAAGAGUCUGUACAUUUAACAGUUCCUAAAGGUGAGGAGAAUACAGGGAAUGCUGUAAGGACCCCUAGACCCUGUAGGUCAGGAUUUAUGGGACAGUAUUUGGGCCACACUUCUGGGAUGCUGGGAGGGCCCUGCACCCCUGGCAGCAGCAGUUCCUGGUGCUGCAGCUCUGAGCUGGCUCCAGUUUACCUUGGCUGGGACCUGCAGCUUUUUGGGUGCCAUCUGAGGUGUGCAAACACGGAAUCUGGAAUCCUGGAGAUGUCUGUGGAACAUUAAAGGCACAACUUUUGAGCAAAGGCAGCACCUCUGGAAGUUCAGCUGGUUCCCAGAUCCCACAACGACUGGCACAGGAAGAGGGCACAGGGGGCUCCUGGUUGAGUUCUGCAAUGAGCAGAAUCCUUCUCUACCACUGAACAGUUCAGUUCAACAGGUCUCACCUAAAGUCCAAACUGCAACAAAGGAGACAAGUUUGGAUCCUGCCUUGCUCACAGACAGACUUUUCCCUGGGAUGUGUGGAAGACCCAGCCCCAACAAGGGAGUUGCUAAAGACCCAGCCCCAGCUGAUCACCUGUGUUAGGCUGCUUCUCUCUCUUCCCCUGAAACCUGUCCCUUCCCUUGGCAGUGCCUUUCCACCGGGGCUGGGAGCAGGCAGGGAGCCUGCCUGGACACGCAGCCCCGGCGAAACUCGAGCAGAGCCAGGGGAGCACAGCACGUGCUUGGCCACAAGGAGCAGAUCCAGCCCCACGGAACGGCCCCGGGGCACCGAGCCUCCCGAAACCCCCCUCCCCCAGCAGCGUGGGAAAACUGCUGGGGACCCUGCAUGUCCCGACAGAGAGAGGCUUCACGGCAGCCUCUUGUGCUCCCUGAGCCAAGCCGUGCUCCUGGGGGUCAUCCCACAGCACCCCGAGUGUGGGAGCAUCUCCUGCCUGGGGGAUCUGGUGUCGCCUCACUGUGAGGGGUUUCUCUCCUGGUUCAGGACAGUGGGAGCUGGAACGCUGGCCCUGGCUGGCAGGAGGAGCAGGGAUGGCUGCACAGCCCCCACAAGCAGGACAUAAACCCGGUCUUGCAUGGGUUUUAGCAAAGUGAGUGCAGUGUGGGACAGAGGGUCCAGGGAAGGGAAUGGAGCUGGGGAGGGGCUGGAGCAUGAGGAGAGGCUGAGGGAGCUGGGAGGGCUCAGCCUGGAGAAAAGGAGGCUCAGGGGGCACCUUCUCACUCUCCACAAGUCCCUGACAGGAGGGUGCAGUGAGGUGGUUUCAGUCUCUUCUCCCAGGGACAGGACAAGAGGAAACAGCUCCCAGGAGAGUUUUAGAUCAGAUAUUAAGGAAAACUUCUUCACUGGAAGGGGUGUAAACAUUGGAGCAGGCUGCCCAGGGAAGAGGUGGAGUCACCAUCCCUGGAAGUGUUCAGGUCAACGUGGCACUUGGGGACACGAUGUAGUGGGGAACAUGGUGGCACUGCUGGGUCAGUGACAAUCUGAAAGAUCUUUUCCACCCUUAAGGAUUCCAGAACACGGGCAUGCCAUGAAUGUUCUGUGUCUUUAACUGGAACAGCAGCAGGAGCAGGUGAGCUCCCUGCAGAGGAGGAUGUGCAGGGAGCCCAGGGAGGAUUUCCAGGCCAAGCCUGGGAGAUGCUUUUCCCCCGCAACCACCAGUGGCAGCAGCUUCCUGGUGGGGUGGGAAGUCUUUGAAUGUUUGCAAUGUUUUGCAUUGCAGUAUUUGGAUGCCAAAGCUAUGCAGUGCUGUAGAAGUUAAUUAGCCAGAUAACUAAUUAAAGACUUCUCCCUUUUA